UACAGGGGGUGCAAACGUUGCUCGGAAUUAUUGGGCGUAAAGCGCGCGUAGGCGGCUACUUAAGUCGGAUGUGAAAGCCCUUGGCUCAACUGAGGAAGUGCACCCGAAACUGAGUAGCUGGAGUACGAAAGAGGGUCGCGGAAUUCCCGGUGUAGAGGUGAAAUUCGUAGAUAUCGGGAGGAACACCGGUGGCGAAGGCGGCGACCUGGGUCGAUACUGACGCUGAGGCGCGAAAGCGUGGGGAGCAAACAGA
rnacentral:rRNA from 1 species